CCUACGGGUGGCAGCAGUGGGGAAUAUUGGACAAUGGGGGGAACCCUGAUCCAGCGACGCCGCGUGAGUGAAGAAGUUUUUCGGUAUGUAAAGCUCUAUUAUCAGGGAAGAAAGAAAUGCCGGUACCUGACUAAGAAGCCCCGACUAACUACGUGCAAGCAGCCGCGGGAAUACGUAGGGGGCAAGCGUGAUCCGGAUUUAAUGGGUGUAAAGGGAGCGUAGUCGGCGAUGCAAGUCUGUAGUGAAAGGCGGGGGCCCAACCCCCGGACUGCGUUGGAAACUGUAUGGCUGGAGUGCAGGGGAGGUAAGUGGAAUUCCUAGUGUAGCGGUGAAAUGCGUAGAUAUUAGGAGGAACACCAGUGGCGAAGGCGGCUGACUGGACUGUAGCUGACGUUGAGGCUCGAAAGCGUGGGGAGCAAACAGGAUUAGAUACCCUUGUAGUC
rnacentral:rRNA from 1 species